rnacentral:misc_RNA from 1 species
UUUCCGUAGGUGAACCUGCGGAAGGAUCAUUAUUGUAUAACCGAGGUGCGAGGGCUGUUGCUGACCCGAAAGGUCGUGCACGCCCGAGCGCCCUCACACCAUUCCAUCUCACCCCCUUGUGCACCACCGCGCGGGGCGCCCUUUUGCUAGUUCGGUGGGGGGCUUACGUUUUGACACAAACUUUGUAUGCAGUGUAGAAUGUAUUUUUUGUUUUUGCGAUCACGCAAUAAAUACAACUUUCAACAACGGAUCUCUUGGCUCUC